rnacentral:lncRNA from 1 species
AAGAUGGAGGGGGGGGGGGGGCUGGUGUGAGGCCCUGGCCCAGGGUGGCCAUGUCUGCUGAGGGGGGGGCUCAUCUUCUGAUCUCUCCUUAAUGCUUUACAAUGCAUAGCUGUAACCUUGCUGUUUUAUUUAAUUAAUUAAUUAAUUUAUUUAUUUAUUUUCCUUUAAUGGAUGAUAGCUUACACUUAACACGUUGAAGUUAAUUGACAGUGAUCUAAUUUCUAACUCUGAAGCGAGCGCAGCGCAGAGGUGGGCUAGGCCCUUGCAUGGAUCGAAAGGCUGAAGUGGCACUAACAGAUGUUAUCUAAAACAUCGCCCAAGUGUUUGAUCUGAUUUCUUCCCCUUUUCUGAUCAACAGUUGGACAGCUUUGGGACUGGGGGAGGCAGCCAGAGAUUACAGCUGGACCUGAAAGUAAAGUGCAGGGGAAGAAACAUUUAUGUGGCCUAGUGGUGUAACAUGCCAGAAGAAUCGAAGAAGGAGAUCAAGCAAGACUGUCUAAUGUAGAUUGUGCACACCAUGAUUAUAAAACACGACAGCUGCUCUUUGUGGAGAACU